rnacentral:other from 1 species
GAGUUGCCGGAUUAAGGACACAUCAGGAUGAUGUUGUCUCAGGACGAGGCGAGGACCCACCCAGGACGGGCGAAAGGAUGUACCGCAGGACGUCGGUCAGGAUAUUUCAGGAUGAAAUGAGGGACACCUCCAGGAAGGAGACUGAGAGCCGGUUUGGAUGGCCGGUGUGUCAGGAUGACUGAGGGAUCUUGCCCGGAUGGCGAGCAGGACGCAGGCAAUGGAGUGUCCGGAAAAGGAAAUCCGCAGGGAAAAGUUUUCACGGAUGAGCAGGGAGCACGUUGUGUAGCGGGACUGCUAUAAAACGAAUCAGGGGGUGCUGCAUGACAGCACCCCCUCUUUUUUGC